rnacentral:rRNA from 1 species
UACGUAGGCGGCGAACGUUACUCGGAAUAACUGGGCUUAAAGGGCGUGUAGGCGGUCUGUUAAGUUGGAGGUGAAAGCCGGCGGCUCAACCGGGGAAUUGGCUCCAAUACUGAUGGACUUGAAUACUGGAGGGGAUGCUGGAACUCUUGGUGGAGCGGUGGAAUCCGCAGAUAUCAAGAGGAACACCAAUGGCGAAGGCAGGCAUCUGGACAGAUAUUGACGCUGAGGCGCGAAAGCCGGGGGAGCAAACAGG